rnacentral:pre_miRNA from 9 species
UCUCGAUCGCGUAAAAGUUAACCCGAAUUUGUAUGGAUUUGGAACGUUCAUCUACAUUUGCCGCUAGGGGCGCUGUUCCAACUUUAUACAAAUUUGAGUUAACUUUUACGCAAUUGA